rnacentral:antisense_RNA from 1 species
GCAUCCGGAAGGAAAGGCGAGGCUCUGCAUCUAGAUUUACUUCGUUCUCUUUCGUCUCCGCUUUUUUCCCCACAUUUCCUUGCGCCCCUGGCCCUUGGGCGACAAAAAGGGGAAGCCAGGGCUGGCCUGAGGAACGGAGAGGGCACAUGGCCUAACCACGAGUGGAGCUUCUGCUCCGCCCGAAGGGAUGCGCUGGAGCGGCCUCUUCCUUCCGUCACGGUCUUUCUUUGCCAACUAAGAUGGGGUUUUACCAGGUUAGCCAGGCUGGUCUUGAACUCCUGACCUCAAGGGAUCCGCCUGCCUCAGCUUUCCAAAGUGCUGGGAUUACAGGUGGAGACUGGACCUCAGAGAGGGAGUGGGUGCCCUGAGAACUCACAGCUGGCGGACAGCGGAAAGGGCAGAACCCGGACCAAGGUGAGGACAGCGGAACUGAAGUUCUGCUGGUUACCUCUCCUGCCCUCCGCUGGCCGCACUGGAGAAGACAGCCCCUCCCUCCUGCUCUGACCUGACAGUGUUCAUCCAUCGCCCUCUAUUAGGGAAGAACAACAUCAAGCUGGCUAGCAAGGAACUGUAUACAGGGUCCAGCUGGGUAUCACACUGGAUCUCACCCAAAGCUGAGAUGUGAUCCAGCUCAGUAUCACAAAGCAGAACGAAAAGGAUGUGUUCGGGCUGAGAGGCAAUACAUUGGCUCCGGCAGGACGGGUGACUUCUUCCGAGUCUGGCUUCUGCAGCACACAGGGCUUCGCCAGCACCCAGCUCCUGCAGCAUGGACAGCCCGUGUGACAGCAGGCGCCCACAGCCUGCAAAGCUUCUCCAGUGCCGCCUCCUCAGUGAACCGCAAGCAGCGGCACCUAGCAGCUUUCUCCACCACGCUCUUCAGGUAGUUCUGUAGCAGUGCGUUUCUCAUGAGACACUUCCCUGUGAGCAGUUUUUUCUACCCUUGAGGAUGGAUUUCCAGCAAGUUCUGCCCAUGUGGUACCACAGCCACUUCUCUGCCAUUCAGUGAAACUGCAGAUGUGCCCUCUUCACGGUCUGGAUCUAAGCCCAGGGACCAGGAAACCUCUUGCUUGAGUGCUGGAACUCAGGUCAGAAGGACAUCCCUGUAGAAGUUCUGCUGCGUGUGGUCCAGCCGUCCCCACUCCUCCCGGGAGAGGUACAAGGCCACAUCCUCGAAAGUCACUGGCAUCUGAAACAAUGUGAAACAUCCACUCUCCAGGACAUGACGUGGACACGGUGGAGGGACACCAUGGCAUGAGAUGUGUGGUGAGAUCCCGGACUCCCAACCCACUGUCUCGAGUGAGGCCUGCCACUUCCAUCUGAUGGGGAAGUGGGUGAGCCACCCAAGGCCUUCUGGGGAGUUGAGAAAGAACAAAGACCAAGAGGUAUCUUCAGGGACCACAGUUAAGACUUAGGAUGUCCAUGCAGCCCCCAUCCUCAGCUGAGACCUCGGAGGACGGUUCCCAGCGGCUCCCAAUGAGAGGCCCUGUGUCUCUAAUUCCUGCUGCUUCUCCUCCAGCUUUGGCCCAGGCCUGACCAUGGGCCUUGAGCCUGGACAAUUCCAGCAACACUAGCAAGAGCCCCAGGCUUCAGGCUUGGCUGCAAGUGGGGCCAGCGGGGUCCUGGCUUUCACACAGAACCAGCAGAUGCAAGAAGGGCUGAGUACCAUGCAGGGGCCGGGGAAGGGCCACUCACCUGGGACCAGGCAGUGAGGAGCGCUGCGGCCAUCUGCCGGUCUCUGGUCCUCCCCUCUCGGGAAAGCACCGGGAUCCGGGGGGAGGGGAGGGCUGUGGGAGGAGAGAGGUCCUCAGGUUGACCAGCUCAUCCUGCUGGACCUGCUGCUACUCCAGCUGCCUCAAACUCCACCCCUGGCCCGACCCAAGGACAGGGUUGGAUGGCUUUGAGGCUGCCAGGGGGCUGUGGGCCACGGGGGGACAGCGUCCCCUGCUGGCAUAGAGACCCUCAGCCCCACCUGGACCUGGGCCAAGCCUCCACCUCCCCACAGCUGCCUCCCUGGGAAAGCACCUCUUCCCCGUCCCUCUCCUACCUCCACCAGGCAGGAAGAGAGCUUUCUCCUUAGAGCCGUGACUUAGGGAUGCCCAGCCCCAUGCACCUUGAGCCCCAUCCUCCUGCGAUGCCCCCUCGGGGUGUGGCUCUUCUGGCUCCAUCUUAAUGUGCAAUGACUCCUGAAUGUCCCCUGAAGGUACCGCCUCCCCCAGCUUAGAAGGCAUUUCCUGAUGAGGAUGUCCACGAUCUGGAACCUAGAAAGGACAGCCCCAUCAGCACCUGGAUGAGUGGGAGAGACAGCCAGAGCUGCAUGCCGGGGCGCUCCGGCAGGGUCGGACACCAACAUGCAAGACACAGCUUGAAGGACUGUCCUUGCUGCCUUUAUCCAGCUCACCCCAGCAAGGACGGGUGGCAAGAGGAGGAAUAUUCACCAAGCCACUUCCACGGUGCCGGUGGGUAUGGUCCCCAAGGGCAGCUACCCCUUCUCAGCUCCAGCCUCACACUGACCUCAGCAGUGUAGACUGCUGUCUAUUAGUGUAUGAGGAAACCAAGUAUACUGGCUUGAAUAGUGUCCUCUAAGAAUCCAUGUCCUCCCUGAACCUCAGAAUGGGACCUUAUUGGGGAAAAGGGUCUUUAUACAGGUAAGUUAAAGAUCUUGAGAUUAAAUCAUCAUGGAUUUAGAGUGAGCCUAAAAUCUAAUAACGACUUAUGUCCUUACAAGAAUAGGAGAGGGCACAGAGACACAGAGAAGGAAGCAGAGACUGGAGGGAUGCCCACACCAAGGACACCAGGAGCCCCCAGGAGCUGGAAGAGACGGAGUUUCGCUCUUCUUGCCCAGGCUGGAGUGCAAUGGCGCAAUCUCAGCUCACCCCAACCUCCGCCUCCUGGGUUCAAGCGAUUCUCCUGCCUCAGCCUCCUGAUUACCUGGGGUUACAGGCAUGCACCACCACACCUGGCUAAUUUUGUGUUUUUAGUAGAGAUGGGGUUUCUCCAUGUUGGUCAGGCUGGUCUCGAACUCCUGACCUCAGGUGAUCCACCCACCUCAGCCUCCUAAAAUGCUGGGAUUACAGGUGUGAGCCACCAUGCCCGGCCUAUAAAAUUGAUUCUUUAAAAAAAAUUAGAACAUUUACCGAUGCUGGACCCACCUUCCCCACCUUCAGGGUCCACUUUCUAGGUGGCCACAGUGCCUGCUUGGCCCCUGUAGCAUUUGAGUUUGCAACUCUGCUUUUGGAGUUAAACAUGUUUUAGGAGUCCUGGGAUUCUGAUUGAUGCUAUUGUCAAUUUGAUGAAAGAAAAAUUACUCCUGGGA